rnacentral:rRNA from 1 species
UACGGAGGAUGCAAGCGUUAUCCGGAAUUAUUGGGCGUAAAGCGUCCGCAGGUGGCACUUCAAGUCUGCUGUCAAAGACCGGGGCUUAACCCUGGAAAGGCAGUGGAAACUGAAGCGCUAGAGUGUGGCAGGGGUAGAGGGAAUUCUCGGUGUAGCGGUGAAAUGCGUAGAUAUCGUGAGGAACACCAGAGGCGAAGGCGGCUACCUGGACAGUUACUGACGCUCAGGCACGAAAGCGUGGGGAGCAAAAGGG